rnacentral:rRNA from 1 species
AACGAACGCUGGCGGCAUGCCUAACACAUGCAAGUCGAACGGGAUCUUCGGGUCUAGUGGCGCACGGGUGCGUAACGCGUGGGAAUCUGCCCUUUGGUUCGGAAUAACAGUUGGGAACGACUGCUAAUACCGGAUGAUGACGAAAGUCCAAAGAUUUAUCGCCAGAGGAUGAGCCCGCGUAGGAUUAGCUAGUUGGUGUGGUAAAGGCGCACCAAGGCGACGAUCCUUAGCUGGUCUGAGAGGAUGAUCAGCCACACUGGGACUGAGACACGGCCCAGACUCCUACGGGAGGCAGCAGUGGGGAAUAUUGGACAAUGGGCGAAAGCCUGAUCCAGCAAUGCCGCGUGAGUGAUGAAGGCCUUAGGGUUGUAAAGCUCUUUUACCCGGGAUGAUAAUGACAGUACCGGGAGAAUAAGCUCCGGCUAACUCCGUGCCAGCAGCCGCCGUAA